UACAGAGGUCUCAAGCGUUGUUCGGAUUCAUUGGGCGUAGAGGGUGCGUAGGUGGCGCGUUAAGUCAGGUGUGAAAUUUCGGAGCUUAACUCCGAAACUGCAUUUGAUACUGGCGUGCUUGAGGACUGGAGAGGAGACUGGAAUUCAUGGUGUAGCAGUGAAAUGCGUAGAGAUCAUGAGGAAGACCAGUGGCGAAGGCGGGUCUCUGGGCCGUAACUGACGCUGAGGAGCGAAAGCGUGGGGAGCGAACAGG
rnacentral:rRNA from 1 species